rnacentral:misc_RNA from 1 species
GUGAAUCAUCGAAUCUUUGAACGCAAAUUGCACUUCCUGGUAUUCCGGGAAGUAUGCCUGUUUGAGGGUCUCCAAAAUAAACAUCGAUUGCAUUGCUUUUUUCAAAAGUAUUGUUUAUCGGACUUGGGCCUCCUUUAUUUUUAAUAAUGAAGUGGCUUAAAAUUUAUUUUUUGGUAUCAUCGAAAACGUAUUUUACGAUCAAUUUUGAUUUAAGAAACGUUUUGAAUACCACCCUUAUAAUAACGUAAUACGUUUGGCUAUGUAAUUUAGUGCAUUCGUAUACGAUUUUUUUUUUGAUUUU